AAUCAACGCUGGCGGCGCGCCUAACACAUGCAAGUCGAACGAGAAAGUGGAGCAAUCCAUGAGUACAGUGGCGUACGGGUGAGUAACACGUGGAUCAUCUACCUUUUAGUGGGGAAUAAC
rnacentral:rRNA from 1 species